rnacentral:ncRNA from 2 species
UGUAUCUUUGCAAGUAAAGGCGCCUAACAGGCUGAAAAGGGAAUCUGGUGAAAAUCCAGAACUGUCCCCGCAACUGUAAGUGUGACGAACUGAGAUUGCCACUGUACACAUGGUGUAUGGGAAGGCCUCAAAGUAGGACGAGCACAAGUCAGGAGACCUACCUUUUACAUGCUAAGUUU